rnacentral:tRNA from 1 species
GCUGGGGUAGUGAAGCGGUCAAACACAACAGACUGUAAAUCUGUCGGCUUAUGCCUUCGCAAGUUCGAAUCUUGCCCCCAGUACCA